AGAUGAGCCUAAGUCGGAUUAGCUAGUUGGUGGGGUAAAGGCCUACCAAGGCGACGAUCUGUAGCGGGUCUGAGAGGAUGAUCCGCCACACUGGGACUGAGACACGGCCCAGACUCCUACGGGAGGCAGCAGUGGGGAAUAUUGGACAAUGGGGGGAACCCUGAUCCAGCCAUGCCGCGUGUGUGAAGAAGGCCUUUUGGUUGUAAAGCACUUUAAGUGGGGAGGAGGCUCUCUUGGUUAAUACCUAAGAAGAGUGGACGUUACCCACAGAAUAAGCACCGGCUAACUCUGUGCCAGCAGCCGCGGUAAUACAGAGGGUGCGAGCGUUAAUCGGAUUUACUGGGCGUAAAGCGCGCGUAGGUGGUUAAUUAAGUCAAAUGUGAAAUCCCCGAGCUUAACUUGGGAAUUGCAUUCGAUACUGGUUAGCUAGAGUAUGGGAGAGGAUGGUAGAAUUCCAGGUGUAGCGGUGAAAUGCGUAGAGAUCUGGAGGAAUACCGAUGGCGAAGGCAGCCAUCUGGCCUAAUACUGACACUGAGGUGCGAAAGCAUGGGGAGCAAACAGGAUUAGAUACCCUGGUAGUCCAUGCCGUAAACGAUGUCUACUAGCCGUUGGGGGAUUUGAUCCUUUAGUGGCGCAGCUAACGCGAUAAGUAGACCGCCUGGGGAGUA
rnacentral:rRNA from 1 species